UCCAUCCUUUACUCAACCUUGUUAAAAUGGGUAUUCAGGUUCCUCAUACUUUCUUGGAUGUUUUGCAUCCCACCCCAAAUUUGGAUUAAUAUUUUGGUUUGAUUGGGGAUUGCGGGCUCAGGUUGACUGGCUUGAAUAUCUUCUUUGUCAAAUUUAAGGUCUUCUUCAUCUGCCUGGUCAAGCCUACCAAGUUGUCAUACACCAUUGAC
rnacentral:lncRNA from 1 species